rnacentral:rRNA from 1 species
UACGUAGGGUGCGUGCGUUGUCCGGAUUUAUUGGGCGUAAAGGGCUCGUAGGCGGCGUGUCGCGUCGGGAGUGAAAGCCCGUUGCUUAACGGCGGGUUGGCUUUCGGUACGGGCAUGCUGGAGUGCGGCAGGGGAGACUGGAAUUCCUGGUGUAGCGGUGGAAUGCGCAGAUAUCAGGAGGAACACCAAUGGCGAAGGCAGCUCGCUGGGACGUGACUGACGCUGAGACGCGAA